UAGACAUGUCAUAGCCGCAUAGGCAAGGGUAGGUUUAAUAGGAUCAACUCAAAAUAUUUUGGUAGUUUUGAUUUUCACGCCAAAUCAAACCAAAUAUAUACAUUCCUUUUAAAUUAUACCAUAAUAAAAGCAGAAUAUACUUUAUAUAGAUAAGAAAUACGUGUUUGUCAUGUUUAAAUAAAAAGAAAUGAUAAUUGUGUUAAUUAAUAGAUAUCCUUUUUGAUAUGGUGAGUGCGUAGAAAUAAGAAAAGAACUUUGGAUGUUGUUUGUUUUUGAAUAAAGAAUAUUUAGUUAUGAUUUUCUGUAAUUAAUAUUCAUUGCGUGGAAGUAGGAAUCAUUAUUUGAAUGAUAUUUAGUGUUGGAAGGAAAUUGCAUAUUUAGUUUGAUUUUCUAUACUAAAAAAAUCAAAUGGUAUCCUUAAUAUGCUAACAAACAUAAUAAAGAAUUUUAACUUGGGAGGUUUUGAAAUAAAUUAAACUUGGGAGGUUUCCUCCCUUGUAUUCACCAAAAAAAAAAACAAAAUAAAGAAUUUUAAAGAGAUUAUAAAUUCGGUAAACAAAAAAAAAUCGACAACCCAUAGCUUCAUUAGAUCAAUAUAUACAAUGUUGGUAUGCACAAUCAAAAGUCAAAAC
rnacentral:lncRNA from 1 species